UACGUAGGGUGCGAGCGUUGUCCGGAAUUACUGGGCGUAAAGAGCUCGUAGGCGGUUUGUCGCGUCGUCUGUGAAAUUCUGCAACUCAAUUGUAGGCGUGCAGGCGAUAGCGGCAGACUUGAGUACUACAGGGGAGACUGGAAUUCCUGGUGUAGGCGGUGAAAUGCGCAGAUAUCAGGAGGAACACCGGUGGCGAAGGCGGGUCUCUGGGUAGUAACUGACGCUGAGGAGCGAAAGCGUGGGUAGCGAACAGG
rnacentral:rRNA from 1 species